GGAAUAAUCUUUCCAAAAAACGCUGAGGGACAACUGGAUAUCCACAUGUAAUUGAAUGAAGUUGGUGUAGCCGGUCAAGUGGAAUGAGAAGUUAACUACAAGAGGAACGUUCUGCCAAGAACACACGGGGGCCUGCAAGCGGGCCACGCCAGAACAAAGUCUUGCACGCAAGAUUUAUUGUUCAGAGGCAGAAUUUCCUUGAGGUGAUAAAUAGUCCAUGAGAGCAUGGAAAGAACAAGGGAAGGAACAGAGCUGCUGGUUGAGAGGGUCUUUGAACAAUACUGUUAAUUAAUAGUUUAAUGUAUAACUUAGCUCAGAUGAUCUCAUAGGCAUGCCUGUUUAACAUUGUCACUUGCUGUACUCCAUUGUCACUUGCUGUACUCCCCAAUAAAAGCCAUGAGAACUUCGGAGGUUUUGCUACUCGCCUGAGCGAGCAGUAGCCCUCUGCUUCUCUAAACUCAAUCCUGCUUGCCGAGCUCAUCUCAGCGUCACCGUUCAC